UAAUCUGUUGUGCUUAAACACAAUUCUCAUAUGGAUUGGCACUCCUACAUGGUAUCUAUAUGGAGGCAAGGAAUGGCACCCUUCAAUUAAGUGUUACGCAUCAAACAACCUUUCUCGCCGGACACACGCGUGCUUUGGCCCAAAAUAAAGUUUCAUCACUGGCGGUUGGACAAAAUUAGAACUGUUAUUUACGCAAUGCUGUUGUACAGAUUAUCACUUCCAAUUCAUUGAUGAUUGUCUUAUACAUUUUUAAGUACAUAAUUAAUAAAUGUUUAUCUUGGCACACUAUUGAUGUGUAGGAGAGUGGACGAUGAGAAGAUUGAGAAGAGGCACUCCCCAUACCACAUACGACGGCCUGCCAAACAAACAGUCUCGAACAAGAAAGUAAGAAAAAAAUUCACCCUUUCUGUGCAACAUCGACGAAUUCUCUGCCAAAAAUCCACUCGAGCAAGGACCUGUCGAAUUGUCAGUCGUGAUCCCGGUUUCACAAAUUAAAAUGGAAU